GCCCCGGCACAAUCCCCCCCCGUUGCCGGGUUACUGACGGCCCGCGCACACCCCCCCCGAGGCGCGGGCCGUCCCUU
rnacentral:ncRNA from 1 species